rnacentral:rRNA from 1 species
AUUUGUAAUGUAUGUGGGGCCGAUGAUGAAACAGGCUUCCAUAUGGCACAUCGAUGCACAUUUGCAAGGGCCCUGUGGCACGAACUCAAGGAGGUAUGGAACCUGCCCCCUGAGCAUGAAAUAGAAUAUACUGGAAGGGAUUGGGUCCUAGUCCUGCUAGAUAAGGUGAGUGAAGAUAUGAAACAAAAAUUUAUGCUAUUUUGGUGGCGUGUUUGGCACCAUAGAAAUGACGCGAUCUUCGCAAAAGGUAAAGCGAAAAUUUCCCACUCUGCUCGUUUUCUGCAAAACUAUCUUGCAAACCUCCGCUUGAUUGCGGACGGAACUUCUGAGAUAGAUCGAAAAGGAUGGGCUAAGGUCAAUGUUGAUGGAAGUUUUUUGGAGGAAAGCAGAAGUGGAGCCUGGGGAGCUGUGAUUCGAGACCAUGAUGGAAGAAUUAUCUUAUCAGCUUGGGAUUAUAUACCGCGGUGCAAUGGAGCGGACUGCGCGGAAGCCAUGGCUUGCCUAGAAGGACUACGGAAGGCAAUGUCGGGGACAGAUCUACCCUUAAUCAUUGAGACGGAUUGCAGCUCGGUGACAAAGGCGCUCACCCUCUCGUCUAUUGACAGAUCGGAGAUUGGAACAAUUGCAAAGGAGUUUCAAGCCAUGAAAAGGAACAGAGAAGUUAGAGUUUGCAAAGUAGAUAGAAGGGACAAUAGGUUAGCUCAUAGUCUUGCCCAGUUAGGGCCUAGAGAGUUGCAUGAUGGGGUUAUGCAAGGCACAGUGCCAACAUGCGUGUUGAGUUAG